rnacentral:rRNA from 1 species
GAAUUGGGGGGGGCCUACCAUGCAGUCGAGGGGCAGCAUAAAGAUAGCUUGCUAUUUUGGUGGCGACCGGCGCACGGGUGCGUAACGCGUAUGCAACCUACCCUGUACUGGGGGAUAGCCCGGAGAAAUUCGGAUUAAUACCCCAUAGUAUUAUAGAAUCGCCUGAUUUUAUAAUUAAAGGUUACGGUACAGGAUGGGCAUGCGUCCUAUUAGCUAGAUGGUAAGGUAACGGCUUACCAUGGCUACGAUAGGUAGGGGGCCUGAGAGGGUGAUCCCCCACACUGGUACUGAGACACGGACCAGACUCCUACGGGAGGCAGCAGUGAGGAAUAUUGGUCAAUGGACGCAAGUCUGAACCAGCCAUGCCGCGUGCAGGAAGAAUGCCCUAUGGGUUGUAAACUGCUUUUAUUUGGGAAUAAACCCCCGGUCGUGCACCGGGGCUGAAGGUACCAAAUGAAUAAGCACCGGCUAACUCCGUGCCAGCAGCCGCGGUAAUACGGAGGGUGCAAGCGUUAUCCGGAAUCAUUGGGUUUAAAGGGUCCGCAGGCGGUCCUAUAAGUCAGUGGUGAAAGCCUACAGCUUAACUGUAGAACUGCCAUUGAUACUGUAGGACUUGAAUUCGGUCGAAGUGGGCGGAAUAUGUCAUGUAGCGGUGAAAUGCUUAGAUAUGACAUAGAACACCGAUAGCGAAGGCAGCUCACUAGGCCUGGAUUGACGCUCAGGGACGAAAGCGUGGGUAGCGAACAGGAUUAGAUACCCUGGUAGUCCACGCCGUAAACUAUGAUUACUCGUUCUCGGCGAUAUAAUGUCGGGGACUAAGCGAAAGUGAUAAGUAAUCCACCUGGGGAGUACGAUCGCAAGGUUGAAACUCAAAGGAAUUGACGG